AGCAUCAGACUAGCCCCUGAGAGCCAAAAACUGUUUGCCUUUCAGUGGGAGGAUCCGGGGUCAGGUGUCACCACUCAGUACACUUGGACCUGACUCCGCCAAGGGUUCAAGAACUCCCUCACCAUCUUUGGGGAGGCACUGGCUCAAGACCUCCAGAAGUUUCCCAGCAGAGACCUAGGCUGCGUGCUGCUCCAGUACAUCGAUGACCCCCUGCUGGGACACCCCACGGCAUUCGGGUGUGCCAAGGGAACAGAUACCCUGCUCUGGCACCUGGAGGACUGUGGGUAUAAGGUGUCCAAGAAGAAAGCUCAGAUCUGCAAACAGCAAGUAUGUUACCUGGGAUUUACUAUCUGACAGGGAGAGUGCAGCCUGGGAUCAGAAAGAAAGCAAGUCAUUUGCAACCUGCUGGAGCCUAAGACCAGAAGGCAGGUGAAAGAAUUCUUAGGAGCUGUAGGGUUCUGCAGGUUGUGGAUCCCAAACUUUGCAGUAUUGGCUAAGGGCCUAUACGGAGUCACAAAGCGGGGAGACAAGGAACCUUUCAAAUGGGGGUCCUGACAGCAGUGAGCUUUUCAUGAGUUAAAAGAAAAUCUCAUGUUGGUCCCAGCCCUGCGGCUACCUGACCUGACGAAACCUUUUACACUGUAUGUGUCAAAGAGAGAAAAAAUGGUGUUUGGAGUUUUGACCCAGACUGUGGGGCCCUGGUCGAGGCCAGUGGCCUACCACUCCAAACAACUAGACGGGGUUUCUAAGCAUUGGCCUGCAUCUUUAAGGACCUUGGCAGCAACAACCCAGCUAGCACAAGAAGCGGAUAAGCUAACUCUUGGGCAAAACCUAACUAUAAAGGCCCCCCAUGCUGUGGUGACUUUAAUGAAUACCAAAGGACAUCAAUGGCUAACGAAUGCUAGACCAACUAGAUACCAAAGCUUGCUCUGUGAGAAUCCCCACAUAACCAUUGAAGUUUGCAACACCCUGAACCCUGCCACCUUGCUCCCGGUAUCAGAGAGCCCAGUUGAACAUAACUGUGUAGAGGUGAUGGACUUAGUUUAUUCUAGCAGGCCUGACAUCCGAGACCAUCCUUGGACAUAAGUAGACUGGGAGCUGUACAUGGACAGGAGCAGCUUCGUCAACCCAUAAGGAGAGAGGUGUGUGGCAUAUGCAGCGGUAACCCUAGACACUGUCACUGAAGCCAAAUCGUUACCCCAGGGCACUUCAGCCCAGAAGGCCGAACUCAUUGCUUUAAUUCAGGCCUUAGAGCUAAGUGAAGGUUUGGACUGCCCUUACCAAUUGGCUCAGACAACGGGCCGGCAUUUGUGGCUGACUUGGUACAGAAGACAGCAAUGGUAUAGGGGAUCACAUGGAAACUACAUACCACCUAUCGACCACAAAGUUCUGGAAAGGUGGACCGGAUGAAUCGGACUAUCAAAAAUAGUUUAGGGAAAGUGUGUCAAGAAACAGGAUUAAAGUGGGUACAAGCUCUCCCUGUGGUAUUGUUUAAGAUUAGAUGUACCCUUUCUAAAAGAACAGGAUAUUCCCCUUAUGAAAUAUUAUAUCAUAGCCCCCUCCCACACUACAGGGACUCCCAGGCACUCCGCAAGAGCUAGGUGAAAUUGAGUUACAGUGAUAGCUACAGGCUUUAGG
ensembl:lncRNA novel transcript